rnacentral:rRNA from 1 species
CACGUAGGGCGCAAGCGUUGUCCGGAAUUAUUGGGCGUAAAGAGCUCGUAGGCGGUCUGUUACGUCUGCUGUGAAAACCCGGGGCUUAACCCUGGGCUUGCAGUGGAUACGGGCAGACUAGAGGCAGGUAGGGGAGAAUGGAAUUCCCGGUGUAGCGGUGAAAUGCGCAGAUAUCGGGAGGAACACCGGUGGCGAAGGCGGUUCGCUGGGCCGGACCUGACGCUGAGACGCGAAGGCGUGGGGAGCGAACGGG